GAUGAACGCUGGCGGCGUGCCUAAUACAUGCAAGUCGAGCGAACGGACGAGAAGCUUGCUUCUCUGAUGUUAGCGGCGGACGGGUGAGUAACACGUGGAUAACCUACCUAUAAGACUGGGAUAACUUCGGGAAACCGGAGCUAAUACCGGAUAAUAUUUUGAACCGCAUGGUUCAAAAGUGAAAGACGGUCUUGCUGUCACUUAUAGAUGGAUCCGCGCUGCAUUAGCUAGUUGGUAAGGUAACGGCUUACCAAGGCAACGAUGCAUAGCCGACCUGAGAGAGGGAUCGGCCACACUGGAACUGAGACACGGUCCAGACUCCUACGGGAGGCAGCAGUAGGGAAUCUUCCGCAAUAGGCGAAAGCCUGACGGAGCAACGCCGCGUGAGUGAUGAAGGUCUUCGGAUCGUAAAACUCUGUUAUUAGGGAAGAACAUAUGUGUAAGUAACUGUGCACAUCUUGACGGUACCUAAUCAGAAAGCCACGGCUAACUACGUG
rnacentral:rRNA from 1 species